rnacentral:rRNA from 1 species
ACAUGCAAGUCGAACGUGAUCCAGAGCUUGCUCUGGUGAAAGUGGCGCACGGGGUAGUAACGCGUGGAUAAUCUGCCCUGGUAUCUGGGAUAACAUCUCGAAAGGGGUGCUAAUACCGGAUAAGCUUACGGUUCCUUCGGUGACUGUGAGAAAAGAUGGCCUCUGUUUACAUGCUAUCGUAUCAGGAUGAGUCCCGUACCAUUAGCUAGUUGGUGGGGUAAUGGCCCACCAAGGCUACGAUGGUUAGCUGGUCUGAGAGGAUGAUCAGCCACACUGGAACUGAGACACGGUCCAGACUCCUACGGGAGGCAGCAGUGGGAAUUUUGCGCAAUGGGGGAAACCCUGACGCAGCAACGCCGCGUGAGUGAUGAAGGCCUUCGGGUCGUAAAGCUCUGUCAGAGGGGAAGAAAUGAAUUGAGCUAAUACCUCAAUUUCUUGACGGUACCCUCAAAGGAAGCACCGGCUAACUCCGUGCCAGCAGCCGCGGUAA